UACGUAGGGAGCGAGCGUUAUCCGGAAUUAUUGGGUGUAAAGGGUGCGUAGGCGGUUUGAUAAGUCAGUGGUGAAAGCCUAGAGCUUAACUCUAGUAAGCCAUUGAAACUGUCGAACUUGAGUAUGGUAGAGGCAAGCGGAAUUUCUAGUGUAGCGGUAAAAUGCGUAGAUAUUAGAAGGAACACCAGUGGCGAAGGCGGCUUGCUGGGCCAAGACUGACGCUGAGGCACGAAAGCGUGGGGAGCAAAUAGG
rnacentral:rRNA from 1 species